UACAGAGGAGCCAAGCGUUGUCCGGAUUGACUGGGCGUAAAGCGCACGCAGGCGGCUGCGCGCGUGGGGUGUGAAAUCUGGCCGCUUAACGGCCAGGCGCCAUCCCAUACGGCGCGUCUGGAGUGAUGCAGAGGUCGGUGGAAUUGCCGGUGUAGUGGUGAAAUGCGUAGAGAUCGGCAGGAACACCCAGGGGGAACCCGGCCGACUGGGCAUCUACUGACGCUGAGGUGCGAGAGCGUGGGGAGCGAACCGG
rnacentral:rRNA from 1 species